UUGCAGUUGCUGAUAAACUCUAGAAAAGGUUUGGCUCUAUUAUAGUUUCUUCAUGUUACCCCGGGAUCAGCCUUUAUUAAUAACUUUUUUAUAUGACAUAUAUAUAAGGGCAUAACAGAACUAGACCCUAUAGGCUACACUAAGAAGUAAAUAAUUUUCUACGUUGACGUGUCGUCAUCAUCAGGCGAGUGCAGCGUUUUGUAGGCUCAACGACUUUGUUUUUUCAUCAUCAUUCAUAGCUGAUGAGCUGUAGCCUAUAUAUGUAGUCUACAUGGAAACUUGGAAAAAGCAGUGUGAAAACUUGUGUUUGUAUAUGAACAGUUGCAUCCCAUAUGUGUUCUCAUCGAAUCUUAGGCUAUUCAUUAGGCUACUUUUGUUAGACUAAUAUUCAUGUUCAUGUAUGGUAAAUUUCACGCAGACUUUACACAAUAAGGAUAUUCGUGAGACGAUUUUUGUUCAAUUUGUGCCAUCUUUCACGUUUUUUAUCAGAUUAAAUGUACAGGAUGUCUGUUAAUGCAUGCAGUUGAUACUAUAUAAGACCUUACUAUAGAUAGGUCUAACAUUUUUACACUCUAUUAGCCUAUUGUAACCUGUGCAAGGCAACGUUCACUGAUAUAAAUGCAAAAAUUAACUUAAAAACGUAUAACAUAUAAAAACUCUAAGCAGCAAAA